CUGCUGCCAGGCUCCGGGCUCCGGUACAGAGGGGCUGGCACUGCCCCACGGCCAACUCCGGCAUCCGCCACCGUCCGUGCCGCUGAAGUCAGGGAUGCGGAGAGUCAGCAAGGUGGCAGCUACUCCGUGCCAGACCCUGGAUGAGGAUUUAGGGAAGAGAGCGAGUCCAGCUCCUGGCCAGGGGGGAUGUGGGGAUGCUGCAACCAGCCCCCGAUCUCCAGGGCUCGUUUUGCCUGAGCAGGGCACGCAGCAGCAGCUUUUCAGAAAGGCUGAGCAGGAGCAUCUCAGCUCAAACCACAGGGCGAGACGGGAGCAGAAGGCAGCCCCCGAGAAGCCGGUAACCACAGCUGCCAGUCUGAAUCGCUUCCCAUAAACUUUGCUGUGAAUUGCUCCAGUGGAAAAACAAAAGCAGUGAUAAACAGGAAAGUUUGGUUUGCAAGAUAAUCCUCUCUAAUGGGAGGAGGCAGUAAGUGCCGGCAGAGGAGCCUUCACCAGUUGCUCGGUGCCCGUCACUGGGACAGACGGACCAGCCCCGCACCAGCUGCCUGCGGCCGCUGCUCCCCUCCAAGGUAUCUUCACAUGAAGUUUUCUGCUAGUGGUGGCAAGGAGAAAAGCAAACAAAAAGGAGCGAGGCAAGCCCGUGCAAUGAGCAGAAGAGGAAGGAGAGGAAUAAACUCUGAAAUAAAUUUCACUUUGGGGUUUGUUCUGGACUGAGGAAGCGCUGCCACGGCGGCACAGCCAACAGCUGAUCCCAAGCAGCUCCCAGACCUACGGGCACGACCCUUUUGCCCAGGAAGAUGGGUUUCAGCUCAGCAUCUUCAUUUUGAUUUUUUCCAGGCGCUUUGUGCGCUGAAGGAUGGACUGGAGCUGAUCCGUGUCUGUCUGCGCCAACGCGGAGAUGAUGCCUUGGCACGAGGCAGGGCAGUGGGAAGGACUCGAGGCGCUGGGCCAGGCGUGCUGGGGAGAGUUUCUGGGAGAAAUUGGGAGAGUUUCUGCCGGGUGAGGGUGCAGAGGCUGCCUCCGGGACCUGUCGGAUCGAGGGACGAGCACAGCAUCGGUGGGGAGCCUGUGGAAUUUUCACCUCCGGGUCCCCACGCACCAGAAAGCAGCCCUGCUCCAUGCCAGGGCUUCAGCGAGGAUAAAUCCCUCCAGAUCCCAGCGUGCUGGCAGAUCCUCCCCGGGCCGGAGCAGCCUGGCAAGGAGGGAGCUGACCCCCAGCCCUGCCCAUUCCCACUGCAGGGCUGCCCGCAGCCUCCGGCCACCGGAGCCAUUUCACCACCCAAACCGGCAGCGGUAGCUGGAUCGCGCCUGCACACGAGCAACUGCUCAAGAGCAAGAAACUUUGCAUAAAUAUUCAUCUCGAUUAAUAUACAUGAGGGCUGCAGAAAGCCCGGCUGAAGCUGUCAGUGAGGAUGUUAUCUCAGCUGCUCGGUCUGGCAGGAGCGCAGUGUUCAACGCCGACACCUGAUGGGUUUUCGCAGCAGGAAAACCCAGAGGUCGGAUGUUGAGAAGCCACUCGGCCACGUCCCCUGUCCCCUUCUCAGCAAGGGGGGUGGCAUCUCCAGGGUCCUCUCCCCCAGGGGGCUGGAGCCCCAGUGCCUCCCAGUAAGCUGUAAACUGGGAUACGCAGAGCGCAGGAGGCUGCGGUAGAUGAGGGCCAUGCCAGGCUGCACCCUGGUCGCUUUUGCCUCGGGUGCUGUGUGCUUUUUACCCCCACCAGUGACUGUCCCACAGAGGCACAGGGACCGCAGCCACGGAGCCCUGCCACGCUGCGGUGGCAUUGAGGCCACCGUGCCAGCACUCCCCAGCCCUGGGGCACGCAGGGAGAUGGAUCUGGAUAUUUUCAGCAAUCGCCAUGAGAGAAACUGAGGCAGAAGGACAGGCCCAGGGCUGCUGGGGGAGGCGGCGGCAGAGGCAGCAGCUUGAUCCUGGCCUCUUGGGAACCGCAACACGGUGAUACCGGAGCUGGCAGGUCCAGGUUCCAUGUGGCUCCUCCGGGACCCUGCCUUUGUCACUCCGCCAGCAACCCGGGGCAUAAACAACUGCCUGACAUUUCCGCACUGCCGCCAGGCUCCUUGGAUAAAAGCAGAACAUAAUUAGCAAAUUAAUCAGGAGACAAUAGCCGGGGAUCUAACGCUGCCGAGCUGUCAUUAGCUCCGUGCGGAGCUGACCCCGGGCAUGUUCAGGGCCAGGCGAGCCGGGGAUGCCCACGCUCGGGGAAGGGGCAGUCACAGUCCUCAUGUCCCCUCCGGGCUCGUGGCCCCUGCAUCCACGGUAGCCGGCGGGGCAGGAGGGGUGGCUGGCAUUUCGUGCCCCGUCAGGAGCCUGGGAAUGAAACCUUCAAAGGGCAGCACCUUCCCUCGCUCAUCAGAACAUUUAAAAACUGCGAAUCACGGUGAAUUUGCAUUCAGCUUAUUAGAUGCCCUGCAAAUACGGCGAACCUCGUUCAAACACAUUUCAGUGAUAAAAUGAUAUUGACUCUGAGUAAUUAAAAAUCAUUUCCAUAUUCAAAUACAACUGAUUGAGGAGAAA